CCCAGGGGCGCACUUCCUCUCCUUCUGCGCCUGUGCACGUCCUAGUCCCGCCCCCAAAUCCCGUAGGCCUCUGCGAGAUGGUAUUUAAGUGUCUCGCGGUAGGCCUUCGGUCUCAUUCUUCCAUUGUUUCCGGGUUCAGGCUCACGUCGAAUGCUGAAGGGUUGUAAAGGGCUCUCGUUAGAAUGUGGUUUAGUUCAAAAGACUACAGGUUGGAGAAUGGGACAAGGCUUAUCCCUGUGUAGGUCAAACAUUGCAGUGAUGCCCCAGCAUCUCAUCACCAAUCACAAGGAAUUCAGCUGCCUCCCAGGGUGAAUACAGCUUGUUCCUCUUGGAAUGAUUUUCCUGGGGAGGGAGACAGCAACCCAGCAAGCAGCAGUUGGUUCUUGUGAGGGUGUGCUCUUCCCUCACCACAUGUCACUGUCAGAUGAUUUGAAUUGAUAAUGCUGAUCCUCUGUGAGGUUGUCCUGAUGGUGAUAUAUUCAUCUAUCUUAACAAUGCCUAUUGAUCUGCUCUGGGUAAAAUUCCUGGAAAGAGUUGAGAGUAAGUGAAUCAGCUAGUUCCUGCAUACUUCUUUCUGGAAAGCCUCCAGAGCUGAAAGGUACCGUUGCCAGUAACCUGCUUGUUUGCUCAAAGUUCCAGCACCUUGUUUGGAGCCUGAGAAUGAUUUGAGGGGAAAGGUAAAAGCCAUAUUUCUGCUCAACUCCAGUCUGAAGUUAAGAGGUCUGAAAAAAAGAAUAAAGCACAUAUAAUAGAGUUGACUCUUGGAGGACGUCAAAAUUUGGAAUUGUCAAGCCAUUAUAUAACGUAGCUGUUGAAAUUAGCAUGCAAUCAUUUCAGCCUUUGUAAAUAAAAGUUUUUUUCUUUUAAACCUUCA